rnacentral:rRNA from 1 species
UACGGAGGAUCCGAGCGUUAUCCGGAUUUAUUGGGUUUAAAGGGAGCGUAGGUGGAUUGUUAAGUCAGUUGUGAAAGUUUGCGGCUCAACCGUAAAAUUGCAGUUGAAAUUGGCAGUCUUGAGUACAGUAGAGGUGGGCGGAAUUCGUGGUGUAGCGGUGAAAUGCUUAGAUAUCACGAAGAACUCCGAUUGCGAAGGCAGCUCACUGGACUGCAACUGACACUGAGGCUCGAAAGUGUGGGUAUCAAACAGG